GAUGAACGCUAGCUACAGGCUUAACACAUGCAAGUCGAGGGGCAGCACAGUGUAGCAAUACAUGGGUGGCGACCGGCGCACGGGUGCGUAACGCGUAUCCAACCUUCCCGUUACUCAGGGAUAGCCUUCCGAAAGGGAGAUUAAUACCUGAUGGUGUUGAAAUUCCGCAUGUUAUUUCAACUAAAGAUUUAUCGGUAACGGAUGGGGAUGCGUGACAUUAGGUAGAUGGCGGGGUAACGGCCCACCAUGCCUACGAUGUCUAGGGGUUCUGAGAGGAAGGUCCCCCACACUGGAACGGAGACACGGUACAGACUCCUACGGGAGGCAGCAGUGAGGAAUAUUGGUCAAUGGUCGGAAGACUGAACCAGCCAAGUAGCGUGAAGGAUGAAGGUUCUAUGGAUUGUAAACUUCUUUUAUACGGGAAUAAAACCUCCCACGUGUGGGAGCUUGUAUGUACCGUAUGAAUAAGCAUCGGCUAACUCCGUGCCAGCAGCCGCCGUAACAC
rnacentral:rRNA from 1 species